AAACUUGUAGCCAAUUGGAUCAAGGCAGUGGAUUGUGAAUCCACCAUGCGCGGGUUCAAUUCCCGUCGUUCG
rnacentral:tRNA from 1 species